UGAUCUUUAUCUGAUCCAUUGGCCUGUGAGCUCGAGACCAGGGAUCUAUGAGUUCCCAAUAAAGAAGGAAGAUUUUUUACCAAUGGAUUUUAAAGGUGUAUGGGCAGCUAUGGAAGAGUGCCAUAAACUUGGCCUUACCAAAUCCAUUGGUGUGAGCAAUUUCUCCUGUAAAAAGCUGUCAGACCUUCUUGCCAUGGCAGAGGUACCUCCAGCAAUUAAUCAAGUAAGUUUUUUUCUUGUUCUAGCGACUCCUUGGAUUGUUUCUAAUCCUGAAUUAUUUGGUGUUAUGGUAAUUAAGUGAAAAAUGUUGGGACCUUGAAAGGUAGAGAUAAACCCACUAUGGCAACAAAAGAAGCAAAUGGAGUUCUGCAAGGCCAAUGGAAUUGUUUUGACUGCUUAUGCUCCUUUAGGAGGAACCAUUUGGGGUAGCAACAGG
rnacentral:misc_RNA from 1 species